GCGGAGGGCGGGAAGGGGGGCCUCGGGCCUUUGCUCUCUUCGUCAGCAACCCCGACCGCCGGGGGAGGGGCAAUGUGCUUUGCCAGGUGCGUCGCCCCGUCAGUAUAAAAUUUCUGAGCUCAGCUGUCUUUUAAAAAGAAGACAUGUCUUAAGAAGGAGCAAUCUGCAAGCCAGCCAGAAGCAGAGACGCCAUUGAUUGACCUGUGGAAAGCGCUCCUGUUAAUCCACUGCUAGAUGCAUUCUAAGAAUGCCAACUGCAUUAUUCAGCCAUGGAAGAACUCCACUCGGAGGGAGUCGUGAUAAAUCAGAGCAUCAGCCCUUUCCGCUUGGACACCAAUAAGUCCUGCACUUCAAAAUUGCUGACCUAAAAAGGAUGCUCAAGAAGGAGCAAGUUUUUUUUUUUUUUUUUUUCCUUGUAAAGAAAGCAACACCAGAAGCAGUGUGACUUCCUUGUUCACUUAGAUGCAUGCAAAAAAGAAAAGUUCACUGUCUUUGCUUCAGGACCUUCUUCCUUCUACCCUCACAGCGUGUGCCUGUGGACUGCCUGCUGAGGAACAUCCUACUGAGAACUUCCAGAUCAUUCAGUGAGAUGGUAGCAGAAAGGAACCAAGUACAUCUCUUCUUUCGAUUGGGAGAGUCGAAUCCAUUAUGGAUUGCAGACCAGGACGGCUGAGAUGCUAAUGCAGUUCUCAGGGCAGAUGGACCAUGGUUUGAUGAGCCAGACCUAGGAUGAUGAAUGAGCGGUGCUCACUGGAGAGCCUCAUGUUGCUGACAACCAACAAUUAAAGUUACUGCCUGAGUCUUUGAUGCUCCAGCCAAAGUUGCUCCUGUAGAGGUCGGGGUCAAGGUAGCUGGAACCUAAAGACCCUGUGGACUUGGGAGUGGUGUCGGCCAGCUGCUAAGACAGAAAAUAAGGACUCUUUGAAAAAGAGCCCAUCCUUCUCGAAUGAAGGAUUGUGGUGCACCAUGGACCAACAAGUGAGAGUCAACAAAACCUGAAGAAAAAGUACAAGUCAGUGACCUCAGGAUCUGAGAGCAGGUUGGGAUGAGGUUUGAGGAAGUUUCUCCAAGUAGGAAGUUGAGGAAAGAGCAUGGAGAAGAAGAGUGUACUGAAGCACCACUGAUACGGGUACCCGCUGCACUGCACAUGGGAUCUUAGUUCCCUGACCAGGGAUGGAACUCGUGCCCUCUACACUGGAAACUCAGCCUCUUAACUACUGGACUGCCAGAGACCCCCAGGGAAGUCCCUCACCUGUUCCAUUUUGAAGCAAUGUAAUAUCCACUAUCAGAGGAGUAGAUUAUGAUUCCAUUAUGAAAUGUUAUGUGGAAACUAAUCUAAGGGUAAAGACUGUAGCAACAAGGAAGUCUAGGUAAGUGUCGUAAUGAAUGUCAAGUGAACAAAGCCAUAGAGGAGACACUCUGGGUCCACCCAUGUCUCUAAGGGUUUUCAGUUGUUCUAACCAAUUUCCAGCUACCAGGCUGAACAUCCCUGAAUUGGGGAGCUAUUCCCCCAAGCACCCCCGAUUGUGGACAUGCACAUAGUUGAGAAAUUACCUCCUCUUUUCCACCCCACACCAGUCCUUAAGCAGUGGCCAUGGGCAGUCAAUGUGUAAGUACCCUUCCUCCAGUACCCCUUUGAGCUGCAUGUUUAGCACUAUGUUCCCAAAUUUCCUUGGGGAUUAAGCUUCUAUUGCUUGAUAAGGGUGCUCUUUAUUGUCUUCUCUCCUCCACUGUAUGGAUUCCCCAUGCCCCCAGUGGUAUUGUCUGCACGCCUCAAAUAAACUACCUUUGCAUGACUACUUUGUCUCAAGAUCUGCAGCACAGGGAAUUGUAGACACAUCCCUGUUUGUCCCUAUAGAUGAUGUGUGCACACACAGGCCAGGAGGAAAAGGAAAAACAACAAUGGCAGAGGUUUGACUGAGGAUGGUGAGAGUAUGUUAGAUUUUUUUUCCUUCUGUUUUCUAAACUUUAUGUCCAGUUGUUAUAUGAGUGUAAACAUUUUUUGUUUCUUAUUUUUAAACAAUAUAAGAACAUCUGUGUGCCUCAAAUUCCCAUGCCCAGAAAGGUUGCAAACAGACAUGAGAAAUAGCUGUUAAGGAAAUGGGUUGCCCACAGCAUGGUCUAUUGUAAGGAAUGCAGGAGUGAUAGCACAGGGGCCAGUGAGGUUUCUGAAGCCAGAGCAUGACCUUGUAGAAACCAGACCUCAGUCUGGUCCACAGGUAACAUCUCCAAGAAGUCAAGGUUUACCUUGUUUAGUGCCCAAAAGUACAGCAGCGUCUGUUUUUUUCAAAGAGCAAACUGGAUAAAUGCAAACAUAUUGCAUUCCUUUUUUUUUUUCUCUAAAUUCCAAAUAACUAAGCAUUCUCUUUGGAAAGUUUCUUCACCGGUAAGCAAAAUCAUUUGUGUUUUAAAAUUGUGGUCUGUAGUUUAUAUGAUCAACUUUUAUUUUACUGAGCUGUCUUCCAUGUAAAACCUAUUUUUAACCUGAAGAGGUGCCUCUAGAUACAUAACAGCAGACUGUAGAGGUGAACAUUUUAUUUUAUUUUCCCACCAUUUUCUUCUUUAAAACUUCUGAUGGGGAAAAAAAAAAAAACCACACAGGCAUGUGCAGUUGAUUCUGUCGUAAAGGGAAUUUAGGCCCCAAACCAAGAGCUAAAGGGAUUGUAAGGUGUAAAGCCAAACUAUUUGGACAUGUCAUCUCUGAGAUAAAUAUUGUACCCAACAAUUUUUUUUGAAAUGGGGAGGAGUGGAUAACUGCUGGAUUCAGGAGGGUAAGUGAUUUUAUUUGAAAGGCUAAUUAAGUCAACGUACUAGUUUUUCUUCUCCUAUAGACAAAGUGAGGGUGGGGUAAAAUGAGGAAGGAAAAUGUGCCCUUUACCUCCUGUUAGCUCUUUCUCAUGGGAAGGCCAAUAGAAGCUGUAGAACAUGCUUUAGAGCUAAAGAUCUAGGUUCAGAUACUGGCUCAGCCACUUACUGGCUGGGAGGUCUUUGGUGAGUUCUUUAACUUCUCUGUGCCUCUAUUUCUUCCUCUGUAAAAUCGAUAUCACACCCAGGAGAAACACACCUUCAUAAGAGCAAGGAAAGGAAAGGCAACAGAAAUGCCAGUCAAUGGAAGUAUGUAUGGAAAAAAAUCACACAGCCAGGAAAAUGAAUGAAGCUCAGCCACUUGUGAAAGCAUGGAUGAACCUAAGGAAUGUGAUGCUUGGUGAACAAAAGCCUGCCACCCUUUGCAUCAAGUCCAAAUCUAACGAAAGCUGAGCAAUCAAGCAUUUGGGCAUACAGUGGAAACAAACAAGAAAAUGCAAAAUUCAGGAUAGUGGGGUUGUGUGUGGGGCAGGCAAGAGAAUGGAUUGGGAGGAGCACAGAGAAGGACACAAGUUACUGUUCAUGUUUUGGUUCGUGGGUUGGGCGGUAAGUUUACUGGCAAGUUUAUUUUGUUAUUUAAAAUAUGAAUAAAUGAAUAAAAG